UUGAAAAAGCAGGAGUGAACUUAAGGAAAGUAAUAUAAUCAAAAAUAUUUCAAUGUAAACUUAAUUUUAAGGUAAAAGAAGAUUUAAUAAAUUUUAUGAAUUUAAUAAUUAAAUAAAGUUUAAAAUAAUUUGUUUGAAUGUGGAAAUUGUCAUAUCUUGGAGGUCAGUUUUCAUAUUAUUAGGUAGAGAAUUCCAUAAUUUGGUUGAUCUGUAAUUAAAUGUUCUUUUACCUUGUGAAGUAUUCCAUUUAGGUACUACUAAAUUAUUAUUACUUUGACUUCGUGUACAUUGAUUAUGGCUUUCUUCAGUAUAAAUAAAUUUGUUUUCAUUCCAUUUAUUAUUGAGUCACCUCCAUCCAAGGGAAUUUAAAAUAUUACUAGCAGGAGUCUUGAUAUCAACUGAUAAUAAUAUUCUACCUAAUCUAUUUAAUAAAACUUGAAGAGAGUCUGAAAAUUCAACUUUACAAUUAGACCAUACACAACAACAAUAAUCAAAUAAGGGGAUAACUUGUGCAUUUGCCAACAUAUUGAGAGUGUGUGAUGGAGGGUAGUAUUUCACACGACGAAUUAUUCCAAUUCGUUUUGAAAUCUUUGAAGAGAGGCUGUCAAUAUGGUCUUUCCAGUUUAAUUGGGGAUCAAAGUUUACACCUAAAUACUUAUAAGAAUUAACUCUCUCAAUAAUGUCAUCAUUAUACGAUACAGAAAUAUUUUUUAACCUAGAACUGGCAUAAAUAGUAGUGAAAACCAUAAGCUUUGUUUUUUUUUUUAUAUUUAAAGUAUAUGAAUAUAUAUUUAUAAGUAUAUGAAUAUAUGUUAUUGAUAUGUAUAAAAUAAAUUUAUAAUGUUGAUUAUUAUUGUUAUUUAUUAUAGAAGCGAAACGACGAAAACUUGACGAGUUCUGUUCAAAUACAGAUCCAAGAAUAUACUGCAAUAAACUUGACGAGUUCAGAUGAAGUAGAGGGAUGUUGGAAAUGGUUUGAAAUUUAAUUCCAGCUAUUCUGGCUUGUAGUGGAAGUGCUGCGUUAACAACCUCCGUGUUUUACUGCUCUUGAAAUAAAAAUAAACUCUGUGUUGUAUGUGCCAGAAAAAAAUAGAGAAACUGUAGUUGUUCCUUGAAUGACAUGUACAGUAUUAAUAUGAUGUUAUUAAAAGUGACUGGAAAUAAAUAAUAAAGUAGAUUCAUCAACAAGACAUACGUAGGCUUACUGACAAGCAAUGCACACAAGCAUUCACACUGUUAUUGUUGAAAUAUGAGUUUGCUAAUAAAGAAAGGAAACGACA